AUUUCAUUGCCUUGAGGAUGUAUCAGCGUCCAGUUCAUACGUCACAAAGUAAAAAUGUGCCUCGUGCCUAUGGUUUUGGAUUGUGGCUACGGAGCCGUGGCGGAGGUGUCCUUCUGGUGAUCACAUUCUCAGGGAUUCCCAGCCCACCACUGGGAACAGUGUUCCGAGAUUCUGAUGAUCAUGAGUGCCCAUAGUGAGAGAUCCAUAUCUAGCUAGAAGCACUUGAGCUGUGCUACAAACUUAGUCUGGAGCCGUGCCUAUUGUGCCCUUUGUGUGGUUGCUUUUAAAGUCAUCCCCACAAUUUCUUAUUUUUUCUUGUAGGCACCUUUUUGUUUCAAGUUGCUUGUCUUGUGAAUUGCCUCUAUGUUGCCAAGCUCUAUUACUUUUUCAGUCAUCAUUUCGAUGUUAAAAAUACAUUCACAUUCCUCGUGAGCCUGUCAGGUUUCUUCAAGUUAUCACUUGUGUAGGAUUCCCUCAUAUUGACCAUUUAUUGAAAGAAGUAAUGCAAUGUGAAGAAUAAAUAAGACAGUUCCUUAGCAUCUACUUAUGCGACACGCAAAUUGUAGGUGCUGGUGGGUACAUUCAGAGACUGUUGAUAUUUUGACAUUCCCAUAUCCUGUGCUCAUGGUGCCUUGAAUGUACAUGUGCUUUUCUAGGCAUGAUGCCAGUGUUUUGCUUGUGGUGCAGUGAUGUUAGGAACUCGGGCCAGCCAGGAAACAUGGCACUUUACUGUGUGUGUACCACCUUCACUUUGCACACAAUUAACAGAGCAUAAUAUUCACUCAUUGUAUAUUAGACAUACACCUCACUUGAUGAAACAGAACUUUAGUUUCCCUUUAAUGAACUACUUCGAUUCCCUGGCAUAUAUCUAUAGAAUCAAAGCUUUGAAAACCUUGGAAGGAACAAAACACAAUAUCUUACCAGUUAACACGGAGAAAAAGAAAUUGGUUUUCUGGAUACCUGUAGUGUUCAAAAUGCAAUGUUUUGCUAGAGCAUUUCAGUGCCACUUGAGGCGUACCGCUUUCUUUUUACAAAACUUUAUGCUGCCAGGGCCCUGGCAUUGCACGCUUUGAUUAGGUUCUGCCAUAUAGUGCCAGCAGCCCAGUUUACAUGGCUGUUGACUGUAGCAUUGAUUUUGGUCAACUACUCCUGAUUUGAUGAAAUAACCGUCUAGUGACGGCAACGUCAUUAAAUCAAACUAACUGUAUGUAAUAAUUUAUGAUCACUAACCGUUUUGCUGAAGGUGGCUGUUUUCACUUACAGCUGAUAUGAGCUUAGAGCCCGCAUCUUUUAUUCAAUGGCCCUUUGCCAUAUAAAUCACACUUCGGGCAGAGUUCACUGUGCAUGCAUGCCUUAGCUUGCAAUUUCUUGAAGGCUGUCAACGUGCUAAGCUGUUGCACUGCCAUGUAAGCCACAGUGCAUGAAAUUAUUAGGUUACAGAAUUCAUAAACGUGGGGAAGCUCGACUAAGCGGCACGUUCUUCCUUUAUGCCUUUUUUUCACACUUUAAUGAAGCAUCAUGUUUCCACAACUGUCUGGUAGUAUCUAAUUAUUAGAAGGCUAGAUGUAAAACAAGUUGCAAUGUGUGAAGAAUGCCUGUUUUACUUCUUUUAAUGCAAUAUACAGCACUACAUGACAGAUGCAGGAACUUAGUACAGUCAUUGACUCAGGGCUGCGACGUCUGUGUGAUCUUUUUGGUAAAUGUAGUAGCUCACAAAUGCUUUUAUCAAGACAUGGCACCUCACAUUGUGAUAUACAAAACUUAGUUGCUUGGCUAUGGCUUUGGUGUUCAACACAGUCCACAGAAAUUCCUUACCGGAGGAAACCAGCAUGCAUGUAGUCAUGGCUACUCCACAAAAGGAAAAUAAUAUUCAGGCUCAGUCAUUUUACAAGGCAUACAAUUGUAGGACACAUCAUCGUGUGGUUGCACCUCCUAGGCUCAUGCAUUGCCUUGGAAGUUUGCAUGACACUAAUGAUGAAAUUUUUUUUCCCCUCCUCUUUUAACUUCUACGUAUGGGUGGGUUUCUUAAUUUGUCUAAAUCUUUUAAGGAGGAGAUAAGGUUGGAUCACAAGUAUGCCAUUUUAUAGUGUUGGUUGUGAUUUGGUCUUUCAGAAAUGAGUUAUUUAUCCUGGCACUCCUCCUAAUUUUGAAGGUAGUUUCAUAAGAUGAAGACUGCUCUAUUAACAUGUGGAGAAUGCUGCAAAUUAAUGUAGAGGUACUGUUCAGUAUUAGAUGUUUAUUAAGUGCAUAGCAUGUUGACUCUUAUUUACAUAUGACAUGGUUGAUAAUCAUUUGCUGUAAUUCGUCCCCAUUGUUGCUGAAUAGGACAAUGUCAUCUGCAAGCCAAAUGUUGCUGAGAUAUUCACCGUUGAUUCUCACUCCUAAGCAUUACCAAAUCUUGACUGAGAGAUUACCACUGUCGUUGAAAAUAAAAGUGUACGAUCAUUGCAUUCUACCAGUGCUAACAUAUGAGGCAGAAACUUGGAGAUUAACAAAUAAGCUCGAGAACAAGUCAAGGACCACACAAAGAACGAUGGAACGAAAAAUGUUAGGCUUAACGUUAAGAGACAGGAAGAGAGCGGUGUGGAUCAGAGAACAAACGGGGAUAGCCGAUAUUCUAGUUGACAUUAAGCGGAAAAAGUGGAGCUGGGCAGGCCAUGUAAUGCGUAGGAUGGAUAACCGGUGGACAUUAGAGUUACAGAAUGGAUACCAAGAGAAGGGAAGCGCAGUCGAGGAUGGCAGAAAACUAGGUGGGGUGAUGAAGUUAGGAAGUUCGCAGGCGCAAGUUGGAAUCGGCUAGUGCAAGACAGGGGUAAUUGGAAAUCGCAGGGAGAGGCCUUCGUCCUGCAGUGGACAUAAAUAUAGGCUGAUGAUGAUGAUGACAUGGUUGAUGGCUUACUGAAAGCGCACUGUGCCCGCAUUCCUGCUUUAGUUCUAGUGUGAAAUUAACCACAGUGUAAAAUUGGAGUUGCUCUUGUGCUGUGUAUCACUUUGCACUGUUCAUUCCCCUAUUUAUGCCUUCAUGAAAUACCUCACAUGUGUGGCUGGCUAAGUGUAGUGAAUUUGUCCAAAUGCUAUGCAAAGAAGGUGUCAAAGUGUUUGUGAAAGGCCUUUUAGUAAUUUCCUAGUGAUUGCUUUACAAAUUGUGCAUACUAACAGCUAAGACAGUCAUUGCAGAAUGUGGAGGUCAAUGAUAGCCAUCAUGACUAAAAACAGGACCAAUCAAAGUGUAGAAGGGUGUUGUGACAUGUACCUGCUUUAAAUAAAUUGUGCUGCACCAUG